rnacentral:rRNA from 1 species
GACGUAGGGCGCGAGCGUUGUCCGGAUUUAUUGGGCGUAAAGAGCUCGUAGGCGGCUUGUCGCGUCGACUGUGAAAACCCGCGGCUCAACUGCGGGCCUGCAGUCGAUACGGGCAGGCUAGAGUCCGGAAGAGGAGAGUGGAAUUCCCGGUGUAGCGGUGAAAUGCGCAGAUAUCGGGAAGAACACCCGUGGCGAAGGCGGCUCUCUGGGACGGUACUGACGCUGAGACGCGAAAGCGUGGGGAGCGAACAGG